UACGGGGGGAGCAAGCGUUGUUCGGAUUUACUGGGCGUAAAGGGCGCGUAGGCGGCCACCGCAAGUCGGUUGUGAAAUCUCUGGGCUUAACCCAGAAAGGUCAACCGAUACUGCGGGGCUAGAGUGCAGAAGGGGCAACUGGAAUUCUCGGUGUAGCGGUGAAAUGCGUAGAUAUCGGGAGGAACACCUGUGGCGAAGGCGGCCGCCUGGUUGGAUACUGACGCUGAGACGCGAAAGCGUGGGGAGCAACAGG
rnacentral:rRNA from 1 species